GAUGAACGCUGGCGGCGUGCUUAACACAUGCAAGUCGAACGGAAAGGCCCAAGCUUGCUUGGGUACUCGAGUGGCGAACGGGUGAGUAACACGUGGGUGAUCUGCCCUGCACUUCGGGAUAAGCCUGGGAAACUGGGUCUAAUACCGGAUAGGACGAUGGUUUGGAUGCCAUUGUGGAAAGUUUUUUCGGUGUGGGAUGAGCUCGCGGCCUAUCAGCUUGUUGGUGGGGUAAUGGCCUACCAAGGCGUCGACGGGUAGCCGGCCUGAGAGGGUGUACGGCCACGUUGGGACUGAGAUACGGCCCAGACUCCUACGGGAGGCAGCAGUGGGGAAUAUUGCACAAUGGGCGCAAGCCUGAUGCAGCGACGCCGCGUGGGGGAUGACGGCCUUCGGGUUGUAAACUCCUUUCGCUAGGGACGAAGCGUUUUUGUGACGGUACCUGGAGAAGAAGCACCGGCUAACUACGUG
rnacentral:rRNA from 1 species